ACCAGCAUACAUUGUGAAUCUCUUAAAAGAGGGAAUAUGCAGUAUUUCUCAAACUAAUUUGAUUGGGGGGUCCUUUUUUUCUUGAGGAGCAUUUCAUCAGAUUAAUGUUUCACAGAGCACACCCAGGAAGAAGUUUCACUAUACUGGCAUCUCUCUCCUUUUUAAAAAAAUAACAACUCAAAGUUAGAUAGCCCUUACUGACUUAUUCCUAAAUUCCUGACUUUUGAGGUAGGUAAGAGUACACACUUUUCCUACUCUGGAACUGCAAAGGCAGGCAGUGUUAUGUUGUGGUCUUCCUAAGGCAGUCUUACAGGCACUGUCAGCGAUUCUCUGCUAUUAAUAAUUCCCAUUGAUUUGAUACCCUCACAUUUCCCUAUAUUGAUCUCCCAUGUCUCCCUGCAGCAGAUGUUCCUAGAAUGCUCCUUCCCCUUGACAGAGAGGUAGACAAGGGCAAGUCAACAGGGACCCCUCUGAGCCCAGAGUGUUCUCUUGGUGACCUGGUCUGAGGGUCAGUGUGGCUGAAUUGACAAAUAGUAGCUGUUGACUCCCUGGUUUGGGGUUGGUUUUCUAUAGGAGAAGCAACUGUUGGAGUCAGCUGCCUGAGGAAUAUACUUCUCUAGGCUGGGGUGGGGAAAUGAGCUUGAAGACAAGGAACUGGCUGAGUCUUAAUUUGGGUAAGAAGGCUCGGUGGCGCUCACUUGGACUGCAGUUUUAUACCCCAUUUUCCAUGUCUAUUCUCCUCCUUCCCCCGCCCCAACCUGUCCAUCACCACUCAGCUCUCUUCCUCCUUCAUCCUUCUUUUGGGUUCUCUUUCCCUCCCCGCUGUUCUUCUAAGAAGACUGGCUCUCCUUCCUCCUCCCCCAUCCCAAUCUCUACUUCUCUUCACAUCCCCUCUGCACCCCCAGCCUGGCAGCCUGCCCUGUAGGAAUGUUAAUUAGCAUCCACGAUUUAAUUAAUUCAGUAGCUAAUUAAUGAUUGGGGACUGGGGGCUGGGGAGCUGGGGUGCAGGGGGUUGGGGGCUGGAGGUGACAGGGAGAAAUAGCAGAGGUUGCAGAAGGCAUCGCAGAUGGCUGUGCGGUGGCUGGCACAGUGCCCACCGCCAUGGAUGCAAACACACUUGCGCGCACGCACACGUAUACACACACACACAAAAAGGAAAGGGUGAUCGAGGAAUCAAAAGCAGGCAGGGAAGGGCACAGGGGCCCUGGGAACUGGGGCUGUGCGGCUGGGGGUGGGGAAGGCUCUAGAUCUAUUUGAAUCUGCUCCGGAAGUAGAAGAGGAGAAAAAAAAGAAACAACCACAGGCGCAGAGAGAAGCGAGCUCUCCCGAUACCCCACCUCACCCCACCCCCACCCCACCCCAGCCACCCCUCCUCCCUGGCAUGGGAUUCAUGGGCACCAGCUGAGAACGGGGUCCCCUCCCUCUGCCUGCCAUAAAUAUUGGUACUGAGGACCCAGACUCAGAAGGAUAGGAUAUUCCCAAAGAAAAGAGUUUUUCUUUUAAGUUGCUUUAAAAAAUAUAUAUGUGUGUGUGUGUGUGUGUAUAUAUAUAUGCAUAUAUAUGUAUAUAUGCAUAUAUAUAUAUAUAUUUUAAAUUGCACCCGUUCUGGUGUGAGGGCGAAGGCGAGUGAAAGAAGGUGACUGAGCCAGGAGGAGAGCACAGAUGGCUUGGUGGUGGUAUGGUGUGCUCCAUCGGCUGCCAACCUAGGGCCAUCGUCUGCCUCCAUCACCCCUCCGCCCGCCCGCCUACCCACCCAAUCCCAAACGGGUGCUGGAUCAGGUGCUGAAUCCGGCUGCCUCCUCGGGUCCUCCUUCCCCUUCCCUCUUAGGCAUGGGGAGUGGAGCAACAGACGGAGAGUGGCAUGAAGACACAAAGGAGGAAGCACACCAUUGCCAAGACCCCAAGGAAGAAGGAUGGAAAGCGCUGGCAGUCCUGCCUGGCCCCCAGCCAGUUCCCUGCUGAAGAUGGCCAGAUCCCCUUGUCUGGUCUGUAUAUGCCACUUUUGCUGGGGUGGAAGGAGGGAAGGGCUGGCUUGCUGAGCUGGGCUCUAGAAUGGGAAGGGUACCUUUCUGCAGAUCCCAUUUGGACUCUCCACUUGAACAAGUGAGGUGUCUGAUUUUCUUCUUCGGUACCUUCCUCUCCUCCCCCUCCCUUCGCCUCACCCCGCUUUCAUCUCUCAUCACCACCUGGGUCCUACUGCUUGGCACCCAACCAACUGGAUGCUGCCACGUUUGGCAGUGCUGCACUGGCACGUGAACAGUGUCUCAGAUCCUGGCACUGCAGCAAACCCAAAGCCACCAAACAUGCUCAUGAUGCCACUUGGCAGCAGUCAGAGAGAGGGGGCUGUGCACAUAGUGGUGGCCAGGCAUUGGGUGGAGCUCUGUGCAGGGAACUGGCAUGAGAGGAUGCCCUUAACAACUGGGCUGAGUCAGCACUCCCUGGUCAAUCUCAGCUCUGCCUUCCUCCCAACUAGAUAUCCACCUCCUUCCUACCCUUAUUGCCCCCACGAAAGGGAUUUAGAUGGUACCAUAUUGAGUGUUUGAGCACCAUGCGAAAGGAAACAAGCACAGAGGGACAGGCUAGAGCACAGGCUGUAGACACACCCAAGGCUCCAGGCUAGUGGACCAUACAUAUCCUUGGACAACAAGAACAACAACAACAACAACAAAACCCUAGGAGAGCAAAAGGAGGUGGAGAGAGGGACACCAGCUGUGUUGUUACCAGGAUGGCACAAGAAGAGAUUGGAAGGGAAGUAGGAAGGAGUGACCCUCAGACCUUGCUCUUGGGUGAUGGGGUGGUUUGUACUUAUGCAUAUUUCAUUCUGCCUUGUGCCUUGUGAUUUGCUGAGCUGUGGUUGAGAUGAACUGGUUCUUUCUCCCUUGUUAAAAGGUCCAUAUUCAAUAAUAGUCCUAGAAAGAUGGAAAGGUGCUCUAGGCCUAGAGAGGUAGACAGGUGUUAGGAAGACAAAGGGACUUGUCCUUCCAGAAAGACUAUGCAAGGCACCCAGUUAGAGUUGGAUAGAUUUCCAUAUCUUUGAAAUCCAUCCCAAGAAGGGAGAUUGAGGAUAAGCAAUGAUCCCUGGUAGAGGGGAAGGCCCCUAGGAGGAGAAUCCCCAGCAUCUGUGGUGAUACAGACUAGCCCUCAGAAAACUAGACCUUGAGCCCCCAUCUGAAAGAAUUUCUAGUAGGUUUGGCUUUCCCAGUGACUGGGCAGAUCUUUAGAAGAUCUGGAAGAUUUGGCUGUGGGUGAUGUGGAGGGGAGGCUGGGUGGCUCUGGGAGAUAGGACCUGCCCAGAGGUAGGAGUAAAGUCCAUGCUGGGCUGAGCUGCUCAGGGCUGGGGAAGUUCUGAUUUCAGCAUCUCUGGAAGUGUAUGGCUACUUCAGAAGAAGCAAGGUGUUUUCCACAGCAGAGGAGAAAGCAGGGAGGCACUCAGCCAAAGUGGUGAGUGGACAAUGUUUCUAUCUUUUCUCCUGUUCAAGAACAGCCAACGUGAGCAGAAGACCAUGGUCAGUUUCCAGUAUGUUGGGGGUGGGAGUCGGGGUGAUGUCAGAGUAAUGAAGUCAACAAAUCUGAGGUUAUGAUAAGCCCUGGUGUGGUAGCCCCUGGGGUAGCAGGGUUGGUCCCUGGGUGCUGAAGAGAUGGGGGCAGGUCACAGAUAUGGUGCUAAGCUCUCUAGGUCAGUGGUUCUCAAACUUCAGAGGGCAUAGAAUCAUUUCAGGAGUUUCUGGUUCAGUUGGUCUUAGGUGUGGUCCAGGAAUAUGCAUUUUACAUAAGCACUCAUGUUCCAAGUGGACACUUGAAACGUUGAAAAACACUGUUCUGAGAGAUGGCAGUCACCUUUAGGAUGGUCGAUCCAAUCAGGGUUUCCCUUGCCUUUUGCAUCUGUCUUCCCCAGACUUACUCAUGUCUUUAUGCUGACAUGUUUGGGAUAUGUUUGUUGUGGGGUGUGUGUAUGCGUUUUGGGUGGGAGCAGUGGGAGGAAAAGGAGAGAUUGUGAGGUUGAAUCCAGCGAAUGUAACUUGUUAGAACAAUGAUCCUCACUGGCAGUAGUUACCACAGAAGAAUCCUUUAGGGAACACUUUGAAAAUUCACUCUUUCUUCACCCACAGAUUCUGAAGGCUGGCUGCCCGUGGGUUUCUGAAACCUCAUCAUUGAGAAUCACUAGGUUAGGAACAUUGUCAAGAGAUUAUUCUCUGUGAUCAAGUCAAAAUUGUGUAGAUUUUGUGGCUAGGUACAAGAUGGGUCCUGGAGGCAGGCCUGGGUCCCGGGUAAUGGAAGUAGGGGUCCACAGAGUACAACUCAGCCUACUGCUGAUACUCAGCAAAUGGCAGAAGAUGCUGUGGUUUGAGCACUUGGUGGGGACAUCUAGAAAUGAGCACAGCAUGGGUCAUUCUUCACAUCCAAUUGAGAAGACUUAGUGCAGGGUUUGGUAUCAGGGAGGACUUGUAGAUAUGGGGCAGUGCUGAGCCCCUGCUGAUUACUGGUUGUGGUGUCUUAGCCAUUGUUUGUGUAAGAAUAUGUGUGCAGUUGGGUGGGAUUAGGAGUCAACCCCGGGUGCUGCAUCACCUUUCCCCCUCUUCUUGGACAGGUUCAGCUUGUUCUGGUCUACCUAUACUCAACCUGCUUCCCCAUUAGCUUCUGGCCAGACUUCUUUCCAUGGCUGCGGAAUUGCAAGAAAUACCAUACUUAGACUACUGCCAGAGAAUAAUGACAUUUACCCCUUGUCUGUGCUUUGUGUGAGGGCUGUCUGGGUUCCAUAUAUGAAGGAGCGUCACUGGGUGGUCACGCAAUUGAAUCACGCAAUUUUAUCUUCUUCCCAUAACAUAUAGUUUCUCUCAAGAGGAAUUACCUUCAUGAUUACUUCCCAUCUUUCCCCAAACUUGAUGGGCCAUGGUCAAGAUCUUCUGCAAAUGUCCUCUCUCAAAUUUGCCUUCAUCUGAUCUUUUUAUAAUGUAUCUGAGCUAUAAUCCUGUAGACCCUGAGGCUGGGUCUACAGACUUGCUGUAGCAAGAGCUUUCUCAGUAUAAAGGCAUUUCUUCCCAACUCAGUCUCCUAGAAAUGACGCUUUCAUGGCUUAUAAGUUUCUGACUGGUUGCUUCUGAGAGAAAUUGUCCCCCAAUACCUGGCCAUUCGCAGAAGUUUACCCUGUUUUUCAUGGUGACAUCAUAUGAGUUUUCCCAAAAGUUUCCUCCUAAUUUGCCUCCUACAUAUCUCUUCCCUGAUGUCCAGAAUAAUUUACGGUCCUCUCCCCAUCGGGUGUGUGUGUGUUUGUUUGUUUGUUUUUUGUGACUGCGAGGAGGGGAGUGGACCCCUCAACCAUGUGCGUGCCCCCACUGCUGCCAUCCCCCUGUCCCCUCUUGACUGCCAGCAACAGCUUGGUAUGGGCCCAAUGCCCAUCCAUUUUCAGGGCUAGUUGAUUUGGCAGGUGAGUUGUUACACACUCCUUAGCAGAUCCUCUCCCCAUAUGUUAAUAUUCAACAUUUGGUCACUCUUCCUCUUACCGGUUACUUUUUCCUCUCACUUUCUCUGUUUAUAAGCUUUUUCUACCUACUUUUGUGUGAGAAAAAUUAGCGUGUGUUGGAGGGUAUUUCUGCUUAUGGGAGUAUAGGUCAUGGGUCUUGGGAUAUGUCCCUUGUACUUAUACAUAUGCCCAUGGGGCCCCAUCCUUGCUGGCACUGGUGUGUUUCCCUGCAGCCCCCUCUGCUGGGGUCUGCUGCUGUUUCUGAGGGUGUGUUUGUUUGUUUCACUGGUGUAGUUAUAUAUAUGGAGCUCUAUAUUUCAGAUUUACAUAUCUUUCCAGGGAUGAAUGACUGUCUUAAAACAGAUCACAGUGGUGGAGAUUUGGAGAAUCAGUGGUCUGGUCUAUAAGCCCUGAGAGUGGUUAAGAAACAAAUACAAAGAAUUAAGCAGAUGGGUGCUAUUAUGCCUGGAAUAAAAGGCUUGCUUGGUUCUUAAGCCUACUUCUGUAAGUAUACUCCAGGGCUGGAAGGGUGGGAUAGAAACAGAUUUCUUUAUGUGGUUCCUGUUGCAAACUCUGUCUUGUUUGGCCAUUAAGGCUUCAGAUUUUCUUAUAUUCUUCUAGCAAUCUUUUUGUUCCUAGUUGAGGAUUGGACACCUUACACCAUCCUCACACAGACUCUGGUUUAGAGCAAAAAUAGCCAAGAUCACUUUCACCACCGCCUCUUGGUCUGACCCUGGUCGUUAAGUAGGGCAGAGCUCAAUUUGGGUGCCUCUUUAAGGACGAGUGUAUGUUAGAAGCCAAGCCCUAGGGUUAGGGGUGGGGGAGGUACUGUAAAAUAGGUGUUAUUGUGCCAAAUGCUUGAGUUACGGCUGUUACUCCACAGGAGAAAUACCAUGAUUUAAUUCUGGUGACUUGGCAUUAGCCUCUAGGAUUCUGCAAAGGAUUGUGCUGACUCAGCCUUCUGUCCACCAGAAUGCCCACUGUGCAUUGCUCUCUGGAGCAGGACUGCUGCUGCUAAGGACUUCUGGUGUGAGAAAGGGACUGGGAAGGAAUGCUUCCAGCCACUGGGAACAUGGAAUGGUGCCCCCUCAGGAAGCAUGUUAAUUGACCUAAGUCAGCAGAGUCAGCCCGGCUCUUUUGCCCCCAAAUUCCAGGGUUCCAGGUAAGUACAGUUGCUUAGAGUCAGCUCAUAUCUACUGUUGGGACCGCACGUGGUAUUGCCAGGCCAGGGUGUUAGGUGUAAAAGAACAUGUUGCGUGACAAGAGGAGGGGGGAUUUCUGGUUACAUCAACUCUCGGUGAAAACACUCAUAGUUCAAACUGAAGUUGGCUGAAAUCCUUAAGAUACAGCACACCACACUUCUAAUCAUUCCAUGCCAGGUGUUUGUCGAUGCUUUCUUUAAAACGUUUCCUUUGUCUUGUUUUUGUUCUAAAUUGUUUUUGGUUUCUAACUUUUAUACACAAGUCACAUUCCCAGAAAGCACAAGUGAAGAAUCUUCUUUCCUCAGAUACAUGCUGCUAAGAAAAUAGUUUUAUAUAUAGAAUUUCAACAGGAGAGAGAAAAGGACAGGGAGAGAGGGGUACAAGAGAGGCGGGGAAAGAAGGUGGCAGUGAGCACAAGACCCGGUGGCCAGUUUCUCUCCUGUUGCCUAGAUCUGUGACUGGCAUUUUUGGUAUCAGAAAUUGGGGUGGAAUUACAAAACUAACUCCGCCUAAUUUGCUGUUAGUUAGAAAACUAACUCCACCCCACCCCUAAUUUGUUAGAGUUGGAGUUAUUCAGAAGUGAAUGGGACAGGAAGUGAGACUCAUGGAAUAUAUGGGGGCUACUGACUGAGCUGAAUUUUCUGUCCCCUCCCAUUCUGUCUGCAUGUAAGACACUGCUUCAGUAUUAACAUGUUCACAGAGUGAUGUGACUGAUAGAGCAGAAAACCUAAAUCCCAGGGCUGGCUGAAUUUGUAUGAGAAUAUGAAAUGGAUAAUGAUAGAGCAACAGCCUGGAGGGGAGAGAGGAUGGAAGGAGAACACCUUGAAAGAGAAGUGGUCUUAGGGACAAGAGUAGUAGGAAAAACUACCUGGAGGACGAGGAAUUUUGCAGACUUUUCUUUGCUAAAAGAAAACAUGGACUUCUCUACCCCACACUACUUUAGCUGGGCUUUAGGGUUGCCAGAAUUUUCACCUGAUGGCUACAGAAACCAUUUGCCUAGGGGUACAGAACAUUCUUCUAGGUUCUGUUGGUUCCCUUGGUGAUAACACCCUAUCAAAGAUUGACCUGUGCUUCAGUCAUCUCCUUGCCCACCCCAUCCCCUCAAUUCGUGUCAGCUCUAGAACCCCAUGAGUCUCAUGGACGGGUCCCGACUCCCUUGGGGAUGCCUCCAGCAGCUGCUGCUUAACGGAGAAGCUGGGCUGGGCUGGACUGGAGGGAGCAGGAGCAAGGGCAGAGGACAAGGGGGAAGAAAAGGAGACUGGGGGGAAGGGAACAAGGGACCCAGCAAAGGUGGGCCUCCAGGGGGGCAGCAGGGUUAGGAGUUUGUGAGAAAGGUAAAUGCAAGGAGAAGGCAGGAGAUGAAAGAGAAGCAGAUCUCAGAUUCAGAAGUUAAAUACCCCACUCACCCCCUUCUUCCUGGGACUGCCAAGAUACUUUUGGUGACACUGACUUUUCUAACUCAUAGCUGGAAAUGAGGGGCUAUUACCUGUCCUGAUAAAUACCCAACUCAGGGAGCGGGGACAUGUCCCUCCCCAGAGUUCAGGCUCUUCUCCCUGUAUCGCCAGCUCCCACCUUGGAGGCUGCGCAUAGCAGGGGAGGGCUGCACCGGCAUCGGCCCUUCGAGGACCACCAGACCCAUAGCAAGGAGCUAAAGCUGUUUGGUCUUCCAAAGAUGAGGUGGUUUAAAGAAACCCUUAAACCGGGGGGGUGGGGGUGGGACAGGGAGCAGGGAGUGAC
rnacentral:lncRNA from 1 species